CCUACGGGAGGCAGCAGUGGGGAAUAUUGCACAAUGGGGGAAACCCUGAUGCAGCGACGCCGCGUGAGUGAAGAAGUCUCUCGGUAUGUAAAGCUCUAUCAGCAGGGAAGAAAAUGACGAUGCCUGCCUAUGAAUAACCGACUAACUACGGGCCAGCAGCAGCCGUACUACUAAGGGGGCAAGCGUUAUCCGGAUUUACUGGGUGGAAAGGGAGCGUAGGCGGCGGUGCAAGUAGGAAGUGAAAUCCCAGGGCUCAACCAUGGUACUGCUCUUGAAACUGUGGAGCUUGAGUGCUGGAGGGGCAGGCGGAAUUCCUGGUGUAGCGGUGAAAUGCGUAGAUAUAAGGAGGAACACCAGCGGCGAAGGCGGCCUGCUGGACAUUAACUGACGUUGAGGCUCGAAAGCGUGGGGAGCAAACAGGAUUAGAUACCCUAGUAGUC
rnacentral:rRNA from 1 species